rnacentral:lncRNA from 1 species
GUUCGUUGUGUACUUUAAGAUAUCAUAUUUAAAAUUAUGCUUCUAAAGUUUAGCCCAAUCCGACUUAAGUAACUCAAAUUGGACUUUUGGCAAAUUUGAGGGCGGAUUACAUUUGCCAAAGCCAGUGAAAGAACGCCAAAAGACGGUUACUGACCAGAGAGGAAAGGUACUGACAGAGAGUUACUCCUACUCCUGGGAGGCUGUGUACUUCAACAUGGAUACAUGUGGUGUCUGUGAUGGAAAUCUCCAACUUAUUGGGACACAAGCUUUAUCAUUCUGUGCGUAUCUCUCAAAAACCAAUGUUAAGGUUGGCCAAGUACUUCAGCAAAUAGGAUGGGCUGUUGGAGAUGAAGCAACGUGGAAUACAAGGCGUUGCUGUAAGCCAUGUUAUAAGAUUCUUGGAAAAUGGAACACUGUUAGAAGGAAUCUGGAAUAUGUCUGCUGUGAGUGGAGAGAAAGAACAGGGAAGUCAUUGCCUGGCCUGCAAGCCGUAGAAAAAGAGACAAAAAAAUCUAGAGUCAUACA